UACGGAGGGAGCUAGCGUUGUUCGGAAUUACUGGGCGUAAAGCGCACGUAGGCGGCUUUGUAAGUUAGAGGUGAUAGCCUGGAGCUCAACUCCAGAAUUGCCUUUAAGACUGCACCGCUUGAAUCCAGGAGAGGUGAGUGGAAUUCCGAGUGUAGAGGUGAAAUUCGUAGAUAUUCGGAAGACACCAGUGGCGAAGGCGUCUCACUGGACUGGUAUUGACGCUGAGGUGCGAAAGCGUGGGGAGCAAACAGGAUUAGAU
rnacentral:rRNA from 1 species